CAGUCGCCGCGGUAAUACGAAGGGGGCUAGCGUUGUUCGGAAUUACUGGGCGUAAAGCGCACGUAGGCGGAUAUUUAAGUCAGGGGUGAAAUCCCGCAGCUCAACUGCGGAACUGCCUUUGAUACUGGGUAUCUUGAGUAUGGAAGAGGUUAGUGGAAUUGCGAGUGUAGAGGUGAAAUUCGUAGAUAUUCGCAGGAACACCAGUGGCGAAGGCGGCUAACUGGUCCAUAACUGACGCUGAGGUGCGAAAGCGUGGGGAGCAAACAGGAUUAGAUACCCCUGUAGUCCCUGUCUCUUAUAU
rnacentral:rRNA from 1 species